CAUGCAGAAUACAUAUCCUUUUCAAGUGGAGAAGCAAUAUUUAUAAAAAUUAGCCAUAUUUUUGAUCAUUGAGAAGACACAAAUUCCAAAGAGUUUUAGUUAUACAAAUAUUUAAUCAGAGUGGAACUAUAAGUUUGGAAAUUAAGCAAAACAUUUUCAGUAUGGUAAAGGGAUGAAUAAAAUCAAAGUUUGCUUUUCUGAAACACUAAUAAAAUUGAUGGCCCCCAGCGAGACUGAUUAAGAAAACAGACAAAAGGCAGAAACUCUAACUGCAGACCUUAUAAAUAUUUAAAAAGAUAAAUGAAUAAUAGAACAACUUUGAAAUUUUAUAUAAAAUGAACAAAUUGAUUCAGCAAACACAGGUUACCAAAAUGAAUAUUCAAAUAUAUGUAAUUGAACCUGUAAUUAAACACCUUAUAAAGAAAACUACAGUCUCACAUGGCUUAAUAAGUGAAUUCUUUCCAAAUGCUUAAGGAAGAAACACAUCUUAUAUGCACUUUGGGAGGCAGAGGUGGGCAAAUCAAAAGUUCUGGAGGAGUUCAAAACCAGCCUGGCCAACAUGGUGAAAUCCUGUCUCUACUAAAAAUAAAAAAAAAUGAGCUGGGCGUGGUGGCACAUGCCUGUACUCCCAGCUAUUAGGGAGGCUGAGGCAGAAGAAUCGCUUGAACCGUGGAGGCGGAUGUUGUGACAGUGAGCCGAGAUUGUGCCACUGCACUCCAGCCUGGCAACAGAGCAAGACUGUGUUUCAAAAAAAAAAAAAAAAAAAAAAAGAAUGAAAAUUGAAUUGCAGUAUAAUCUUAAAAUUUUUGAGAAAUCUACGUUUUUCAGCUAAAAAGAGACAGACUCAGCCUUUUGACCUUUCUUCUAUCCCUCCUUGGAAGGCAAUCCAAGGCCUGGAAAAACAGCAGCCACAUUGUAACCAAAAGAAUAAAAACAUGGCUAAGAAAGUAUCAGGAAACUGAAAAGAACCCUGGACUGCCUUCCUCUGCACGUUGUAAGUGACAAAAAUGAAAUCUAUAUUUCUUUAAGUCACUGAAUCAGAUUUAUUCUUUCUGCGGCUACAAGUAGCCCUAAAUGAUGUAUUAAAUACUAAAAUAAAUACUAAAAUACACACUAAAAUACUAACAUUUUGGUCUUGAACUGCUGAUCUCAGGUGAUACACCCAUCUCAGCCUACCAAGGUGCUGGGUUUACAGGCAUGAGCCAUCACACCCACCUCAAAAGCUUUGUGUUUUUAAAUAUAUUAGACAUGUCUCUAGUUUCAAAAAAAAAAAAAAAAACCCUUAAUAAUGUAGGAGAAUAAGAGAAACUUUUUCCAAAAAAGAGAAAUUAUUGUGAUUAUUUUACCUUAUUGGAAUGUUGGAUAAUAUAGUCAGCUUUAUUAAUCAUCAAGCAUGCUGUAAAUUUUCCAUUAUAAUAGGAUUUGUACCUCAAUUAAGGUGAUAAAGUUUUAAAGCUCAGAAAGUGAAAGCCAGCCCCACCCCUCUCCUAG
rnacentral:lncRNA from 1 species